AUUCUUGUAGUUGAAAUACAACGGUGGUUUUUCAAGCCAUUAGUUUUGGUUAAAGUCCUAACAGGAAUU